AGUGGCGGACGGGUGAGGAAUACAUGAGAAUCUGCCUCAAAGUCGGGGACAACAGUGGGAAACUACUGCUAAUACCGGAUGAGCUCGAAAGGUAAAAGGUUAAUUGCUUAGAGGGGAGCUCAUGUCUGAUUAGCUAGAUGGUAGUGUAAGGGACUACCAUGGCCACGACCAGUAGCUGGUCUGAGAGGAUGAGCAGCCACACUGGGACUGAGACACGGCCCAGACUCCUACGGGAGGCAGCAGUGGGGAAUUUUCCGCAAUGGGCGAAAGCCUGACGGAGCAAUACCGCGUGAGGGAGGAAGGCUCUUGGGUUGUAAACCUCAAAACUUAGGGAAGAAAAAAAUGACGGUACCUAAUGUAAGCAUCGGCUAACUCCGUGCCAGCAGCCGCGGUAAUACGGAGGAUGCAAGCGUUAUCCGGAAUCAUUGGGCGUAAAGAGUCCGUAGGUGGCAUUUCAAGUCCAGUUUCAAAGACCGAAGCUCAACUUCGGAAAGGGAGUGGAAACGGAAAAGCUAGAGUAUAGUAGGGGUAGAGGGAAUUCCUAGUGUAGCGGUGAAAUGCGUAGAGAUUAGGAAGAACACCAGUGACGAAGGCGCUCUACUGGGCAUAUACUGACACUGAGGGACGAAAGCUAGGGGAGCGAAAGGGAUUAGAUACCCCUGUAGUCCUAGCGGUAAACGAUGGAUACUAGGCGU
rnacentral:rRNA from 1 species